GCAUAUCAAUAAGCGGAGGAAAAGAAACUAACAAGGAUUCCCCUAGUAACUGCGAGUGAAGCGGGAAAAGCUCAAAUUUAAAAUCUGGUGGUCUUUGGCCAUCCGAGUUGUAAUCUAGAGAAGUGUUACCCGCGUCGGACCGUGUAUAAGUCUCCUGGAAUGGAGCGUCAUAGAGGGUGAGAAUCCCGUCUUUGACACGGACUACCGAGGCUUUGUGGUGCGCUCUCAACGAGUCGAGUUGUUUGGGAAUGCAGCUCAAAAUGGGUGGUAAAUUCCAUCUAAAGCUAAAUAUUGGCGAGAGACCGAUAGCGAACAAGUACCGUGAGGGAAAGAUGAAAAGAACUUUGGAAAGAGAGUUAAACAGUACGUGAAAUUGCUGAAAGGGAAACGCUUGAAGUCAGUCGCGUUGGCCGGAAAUCAGCCUUGCUUUUGCAUGGUGUACUUUCUGGUUGACGGGCCAGCAUCAGUUUUGACCGGUGGAAAAAGUUCAAGGGAAUGUGGCAUCUUCGGAUGUGUUAUAGCCCUUGUUCGUAUACAUCGGUUGGGACUGAGGAACUCAGCACGCCGAAAGGCCGGGUCUUUGACCACGUUCGUGCUUAGGAUGCUGGCAUAAUGGCUUUAAUCGACCCGUCUUGAAACACGGACCAAGGAGUCUAACAUGCCUGCGAGUGUUUGGGUGGAAAACCCGGACGCGCAAUGAAAGUGAAAGUUGAGAUCCCUGUCAUGGGGAGCAUCGACGCCCGGACCAGAAGUUCUCUGACGGCCCUGCGGUAGAGCAUGUAUGUUGGGACCCGAAAGAUGGUGAACUAUGCCUGAAUAGGGUGAAAGCCAGAGGAAACUCUGGUGGAGGCUCGUAGCGAUUCUGACGUGCAAAUCGAUCGUCAAAUUUGGGUAUAGGGGGCGAAAGACUAAUCGAACCAUCUAGUAGCUGGUUCCUGCCGAA
rnacentral:rRNA from 1 species